UGCAUUUCAAGGGAUAAGAGGAAAGAAGCACAGUAGCUACUUAAUUUAGAAAACAUAUUUGAAUAGGCUGAAGAGCCAGCAUAAUCAUGCUAGACAAAUAACCGAGAGUUAUUCACCAUAUCAUCAGCUGAGCCAUUUUGUGCUGUGACUCCUCCUGACCUCAUAAGGUGUUUUUUAGAGCGUUCUUGGAAAAUGAAAUGGUUUUAUAAGAUGAUACCAGCUGAGCAGUGGCACAAAGAUCAAGUAAUGACAGAGCAUUUCUUCAUCUGACGAUCCAGUGGAGAAGAGACCACAAACAGAAAGCUGUGGCAGCCUGACAGUUUGAAUUGUGCAAGUAUCAGAGUUUAAGUCUUCAUUGUCUUCAGCUUUUGAGAAUAUAAUUAGAUCUGCCUCCUGUAAUGAUAUCUAAUAAAAUCAAGAUUCUUUCAUACUGAUUAUGUAGA
rnacentral:lncRNA from 1 species